rnacentral:rRNA from 1 species
CCUACGGGAGGCAGCAGUGAGGAAUAUUGGUCAAUGGGCGCGAGCCUGAACCAGCCAAGUAGCGUGAAGGAUGACUACCCUACGGGUUGUAAACUUCUUUUAUAAAGGAGUAAAGUGAGGCACGUGUGCCUUAUUGUAUGUACUUUAUGAAUAAGGAUCGGCUAACGCCGUGCCAGCAGCCGCGGUAAUACGGAGGAUCCGAGCGUUAUCCGGAUGUGUUGGGUUUAAAGGGAGCGUAGAUGGGUUGUUAAGUCAGUUGUGAAAGUUUGCGGAUCAACCGUAAAAUUGCAAUUGAUACUGGCAGCCUUGAGUACAGUUGAGGUAGGCGGAAUUCGUGGUGUAGCGGUGAAAUGCUUAGAUAUCACGAAGAACUCAGAUUGCGAAGGCAGCUUACUAAACUGCCACUGACAUUGAUGCUCGAAAGUGUGGGUAUCAAACAGGAUUAGAUACCCCUGUAGUC